GACGAACGCUGGCGGCGUGCUUAACACAUGCAAGUCGAGUGAUGAAGCACCUUCGGGUGUGGGUUAGCGGCGAACGGGUGAGGAACACGUGAGGAAUCUGCCUUCCACUCUGGGAUAACUCCGGGAAACCGGGGCUAAUACCGGAUAUUUUCAACUGGCGGCAUCGCCUGUUGAAGAAAGUUUUUCGGUGGAAGAUGACCUCGCGGCCUAUCAGCUUGUUGGUGAGGUAAAGGCUCACCAAGGCGACGACGGGUAGCCGGCCUGGGAGGGUGACCGGCCACACUGGGACUGAGACACGGCCCAGACUCCUACGGGAGGCAGCAGUGGGGAAUAUUGGGCAAUGGAGGAAACUCUGACCCAGCGACGCCGCGUGAGGGAUGAAGGCCUUCGGGUUGUAAACCUCUUUCAGCAGGGAAUAAGCGAAAGUGAAGGUACCUGCAGAAGAAGCACCGGCUAACUAUGUGCCAGCCGCCGCGGUAA
rnacentral:rRNA from 1 species